AAAUUGAAGAGUUUGAUCAUGGCUCAGAUUGAACGCUGGCGGCAGGCCUAACACAUGCAAGUCGAACGGUAACAGAAAGCAGCUUGCUGCUUUGCUGACGAGUGGCGGACGGGUGAGUAAUGUCUGGGAAACUGCCUGAUGGAGGGGGAUAACUACUGGAAACGGUAGCUAAUACCGCAUAACGUCGCAAGACCAAAGAGGGGGACCUUAGGGCCUCUUGCCAUCGGAUGUGCCCAGAUGGGAUUAGCUAGUAGGUGGGGUAACGGCUCACCUAGGCGACGAUCCCUAGCUGGUCUGAGAGGAUGACCAGCCACACUGGAACUGAGACACGGUCCAGACUCCUACGGGAGGCAGCAGUGGGGAAUAUUGCACAAUGGGCGCAAGCCUGAUGCAGCCAUGCCGCGUGUAUGAAGAAGGCCUUCGGGUUGUAAAGUACUUUCAGCGGGGAGGAAGGGAGUAAAGUUAAUACCUUUGCUCAUUGACGUUACCCGCAGAAGAAGCACCGGCUAACUCCGUGCCAGCAGCCGCGGUAA
rnacentral:rRNA from 1 species